UAUACAUACCGAUUUAUGCAUAAAUAUGUUUAUUGUGGUAGGCAGAAGUACAAAUUCAUUUUUCAACUUUCACUACUUGAUGCCGCAAAAGGGUGACGAGAGGCCAAGUAUCCAUAGUGUUUGCGUCAGACCACCAGGUGCUACAAAGGUAGGCUAUUCUUUCCUUUUUCCAAACAGAAUGAUUCUGUUAAUAACUAUGUCACAGUCUGUUGUCAACCUGCCUUUUACUAACGUUCUCUCACCCCUAAGAGGCGCUGGAGCUGCAGACCGGAGUGUUGACAGGUGUACGUCGUUGCUUCAUCAGCUGGAGGACUAUAUGAGGGUGGUUCGCUGGCUUGUCUACGCCUGAGUGUUUUGCCUACCGUGGCUGUUCACGCCAAGCUGGGGUUUCCUCCUGAAUCCACCUCCUGUCAAGACUGGAAUCUGCUGCUGCCCUUGCGAGUCCUCCAGCUGGAAGCGCAACUUGUCCACCACUUUGUUACCUGGAACAUCAGAUCGCUCCAAUCGUUUCCGUGCAGGCUCUACCACAGACUUGAACCGGCUUCUCCCCCUGGCGGAUCGAUCGCCUUCCGGAAAUGUGUCUCCUGAUCGCUCGUUCCUGAGUCGAAAAAAAAUAAAAGAAAAACUUAAUUUACUCUUCUCUGUCUGAGUGUCCUCUGCAUGUGGGUCAAGUCGGCCUUAAAAACUAUGACAAACUAAUCUAUUUGAUUUUGUAUCUUCUUUUAUUCCUUCAUAAGCUGGUAAACAGCAAGACUGCAAUGUUGUUUAUUUUUGUCUUCUUUGCAUAUAAUAAUAAUGGAAAUAACAAUGUACAAAUAUGAUUUUGUGUUGUGAAAUAAAGAUGGUGAAAGAAAGGAAAAA